AUUAGAUAGUUGGUGAGGCAACGGCUCACCAAGUCAGCGAUCGGUAGCCGGACUGAGAGGUUGGCCGGCCACAUUGGGACUGAGACACGGCCCAGACUCCUACGGGAGGCAGCAGUGGGGAAUAUUAGGCAAUGGGGGGAACCCUGACCUAGCAACGCCGCGUGAAGGAUGAAGGUUUUCGGAUUGUAAACUUCUUUGGCAGGGGACGAUAAUGACGGUACCCUGAGAACAAGCCACGGCUAACUACGUGCCAGCAGCCGCGGUAAUACGUAGGUGGCAAGCGUUGUCCGGAAUUACUGGGUGUAAAGGGCGAGUAGGCGGGUAUGCAAGUCAGAUGUGAAAUACCGAGGCUUAACCUCGGGGCUGCAUUUGAAACUGUAAAUCUUGAGUGAUGGAGAGGUAGGCGGAAUUCCCGGUGUAGCGGUGAAAUGCAUAGAGAUCGGGAGGAACACCAGUGGCGAAGGCGGCCUGCUGGACAUUAACUGACGCUGAGGCGCGAAAGUGUGGGGAGCAAACAGGAUUAGAUACCCUGGUAGUCCACACCGUAAACGAUGGAUACUAGGUGUGCGGGGUCUGACCCCCUGCGUGCCGGAGUAAACACAAUA
rnacentral:rRNA from 1 species